rnacentral:rRNA from 1 species
CACGUAGGGGGCAAGCGUUGUCCGGAUUUAUUGGGCGUAAAGAGCUCGUAGGUGGCCUGUCGCGUCGGCUGUGAAAACUCGGGGCUCAACUCCGAGCUUGCAGUCGAUACGGGCAGGCUAGAGUUCGGCAGGGGAGACUGGAAUUCCUGGUGUAGCGGUGAAAUGCGCAGAUAUCAGGAGGAACACCGAUGGCGAAGGCAGCCCCCUGGGCUGACACUGACGCUCAGGCACGAAAGCGUGGGGAGCAAACAGG